GAUGAACGCUGACAGAAUGCUUAACACAUGCAAGUCUUUGGCGAAGCUGUGCUUGCACAGCCUAGCCAAGGCGGACGGGUGAGUAACGCGUAAGGAACUUGCCCUGCAGUCAGGGAUAACAGACGGAAACGACUGAUAAGACCUGGUAAAGUCAGGCGGACUCAUGUCCAGCCUGAUGAAAAGAGAUGCUGCAGGAGAGCCUUGCGUCCUAUUAGCUUGUUGGUGGGGUAACGGCCCACCAAGGCGAUGAUAGGUAGCCGGCCUGAGAGGGUGGACGGCUACAAGGGGACUGAGAUACGGCCCUUACUCCUACGGGAGGCAGCAGUGGGGAAUAUUGGACAAUGGGGGCAACCCUGAUCCAGCAAUUCUGUGUGCACGAUGAAGGUUUUCGGAUUGUAAAGUGCUUUCAGCAGGGAAGAAAAAAAUGACGGUACCUGCAGAAGAAGCGACGGCUAAAUACGUG
rnacentral:rRNA from 1 species